rnacentral:rRNA from 1 species
CAGCCGCCGCGGGAAUACAGAGGGUGCGAGCGUUAAUCGGAUUUACUGGGCGUAAAGCGUGCGUAGGCGGCUUCUUAAGUCGGAUGUGAAAUCCCUGAGCUUAACUUAGGAAUUGCAUUCGAUACUGGGAAGCUAGAGUAUGGGAGAGGAUGGUAGAAUUCCAGGUGUAGCGGUGAAAUGCGUAGAGAUCUGGAGGAAUACCGAUGGCGAAGGCAGUCAUCUGGCCUAAUACUGACGCUGAGGUACGAAAGCAUGGGGAGCAAACAGGAUUAGAUACCCCUGUAGUCCCUGUCUCUUAUAC